AGUGAACGCUGGCGGUAGGCCUAACACAUGCAAGUCGAACGGCAGCACGGUAAGAGCUUGCUCUUACGGGUGGCGAGUGGCGGACGGGUGAGGAAUACAUCGGAAUCUACUUUUUCGUGGGGGAUAACGUAGGGAAACUUACGCUAAUACAGCAUACGACCUACGGGUGAAAGCAGGGGAUCUUCGGACCUUGCGCGAUUGAAUGAGCCGAUGUCGGAUUAGCUAGUUGGCGGGGUAAAGGCCCACCAAGGCGACGAUCCGUAGCUGGUCUGAGAGGAUGAUCAGCCACACUGGAACUGAGACACGGUCCAGACUCCUACGGGAGGCAGCAGUGGGGAAUAUUGGACAAUGGGCGCAAGCCUGAUCCAGCCAUACCGCGUGGGUGAAGAAGGCCUUCGGGUUGUAAAGCCCUUUUGUUGGGAAAGAAAAGCAGCAGGGUAAUACCCCGCUGUUCUGACGGUACCCAAAGAAUAAGCACCGGCUAACUUCGUG
rnacentral:rRNA from 1 species